AUUGAACGCUGGCGGCAGGCCUAACACAUGCAAGUCGAGCGGAUGAAGGGAGCUUGCUCCUGGAUUCAGCGGCGGACGGGUGAGUAAUGCCUAGGAAUCUGCCUGGUAGUGGGGGAUAACGUCCGGAAACGGGCGCUAAUACCGCAUACGUCCUGAGGGAGAAAGUGGGGGAUCUUCGGACCUCACGCUAUCAGAUGAGCCUAGGUCGGAUUAGCUAGUUGGUGGGGUAAAGGCCUACCAAGGCGACGAUCCGUAACUGGUCUGAGGGGAUGAUCAGUCACACUGGAACUGGAGCACGGGCCCGACUCCUACGGGGGGCACGCGUGGGGAAUAUUUGACCAUGGGCGAAAGCCUUGUCCAGCCCUUCCGGGGGGUGUAAAGAGGUUUUCCGAUUUGUAAAGCCUUUAAGGUUGGAGGAAGGGCAGUAAGUUAAUACCUUGCUGUUUUGACGUUACCAACAGAAUAAGCACCGGCUAACUUCGUG
rnacentral:rRNA from 1 species